rnacentral:rRNA from 1 species
CGAAAGCCUGACGGAGCAAUACCGCGUGAGGGAGGAAGGCUCUUGGGUCGUAAACCUCUUUUCUCAGGGAAGAACACAAUGACGGUACCUGAGGAAUAAGCAUCGGCUAACUCCGUGCCAGCAGCCGCGGUAAUACGGAGGAUGCAAGCGUUAUCCGGAAUGAUUGGGCGUAAAGCGUCCGCAGGUGGCUAUGUAAGUCUGCUGUUAAAGAGUCUAGCUCAACUAGAUAAGAGCAGUGGAAACUACAAGGCUAGAGUGCGUUCGGGGCAGAGGGAAUUCCUGGUGUAGCGGUGAAAUGCGUAGAGAUCAGGAAGAACACCAGUGGCGAAGGCGCUCUGCUAGGCCGCAACUGACACUGAGGGACGAAAGCUAGGGGAGCG